UGUAAAGGCAAGCACAGGAAUCCUUCACCACCUUGAUUCUACAUUGGCACCGGAAAGGACUCAAGAAGCCCAGUGUAGACCGUCAUCAGAAGCCCUCUGCUGUUCCUGUGUGGUAUGGGGCCCAGGACAGUCUUUGCACGCUAUUGUUUCAUUGCACAGUUGCAAAGCAAAGCUGGUUUCUGUUCUUCCUCUCUGUCUCACAGGCUGUAAUGCUUGUCUCAACAGUCUGUCCUUCUCCCUGCUUACCAGUUUUCACUAAGACAGCUGAAACAAUGGUUCCCAAGAAGCUGGAAUUUCCCAGGAAUCUCAUGCUGGGAGAAGGAAAAGAAUGAAGUCUGAUGUCACCGAGAGGCAGAGCUUGCCUCUCAGGAAGAGGUUUCAUACUCUCCGGUCAGACUACACAGGAGAGACUGGAGCUGAUGUCACCGAGAGGCAGAGCUUGUCUCUCAGAAAGAGGUUUCAUACACUCCAGUCAGACUACACAGGAGAGACUGGAGCUGAGGCAAUGAUGGGCCUAUGAUGGGCAGGACCACACCUUGAUUAAACUACUGAGUUAC